GGAUCAUUACUGAAAGGUGCUAUGCCCUCGCCCUCCCGUCCGCGGCAAGCUCGCCGGCGGGGGCGGCCGGGGCUCAAUCCAUUCAAACCCCAUGUUAUCCGACACCGUUGCCUCGGGGGCGACCCGGCCCUUAGCGGUUGGGGCCCCCGGUGGACCGUCAAACACUGUAUCUGUGCGUCCGAGUCAAAUGAUAAAUCAAUCAAAACUUUCAACAACGGAUCUCUUGGUUCUGGCAUCGAUGAAGAACGCAGCGAAAUGCGAUAAGUAAUGUGAAUUGCAGAAUUCAGUGAAUCAUCGAAUCUUUGAACGCACAUUGCGCCCUUCGGUAUUCCGGGGGGCAUGCCUGUUCGAGCGUCAUUUCACCACUCCAGCCUCGCUGGGCCUUGGGCGCCGCCGUCUGCCGGCGCGCCCCAAUGUCUCCGGCUGAGCCGUCCGUCUCUAAGCGUUGUGGCAACUCAAUCCGCUUGUGGGACCGGGGGGUUCGACGCCGUUAAACAUCACACAAGGUUGACCUCGGAUCAGGUAGGGAUACCCGCUGAACUUAAGCAUAUCAAUAAGCGGAGGAAAAGAAACCAACAGGGAUUGCCCUAGUAACGGCGAGUGAAGCGGCAACAGCUCAAAUUUGAAAUCUGGCGCAAGCCCGAGUUGUAAUUUGUAGAGGAUGCUUCUGGGCAGCGGCCGGUCUAAGUUCCUUGGAACAGGACGUCAUAGAGGGUGAGAAUCCCGUAUGCGACCGGUUGGCACCCGUCACGUAGCUCCUUCGACGAGUCGAGUUGUUUGGGAAUGCAGCUCUAAACGGGUGGUAAAUUCCAUCUAAAGCUAAAUACCGGCCAGAGACCGAUAGCGCACAAGUAGAGUGAUCGAAAGAUGAAAAGCACUUUGGAAAGAGAGUUAAAAAGCACGUGAAAUUGUUGAAAGGGAAGCGCAUGCAACCAGACUUGUCGGCGGUGUUCCGCCGGUCUUCUGACCGGUCUACUCGCCGCCGGCAGGCCAGCAUCGUUUGGGUGCGCCGGAUAAAGGCGCCGGGAAUGUGGCCCUUCGGGGUGUUAUAGCCCGGCGCACAAUACGGCGCCGCCCGAGCGAGGUCCGCGCU
rnacentral:rRNA from 1 species